rnacentral:rRNA from 2 species
UGGGGAAUAUUGGACAAUGGGCGCAAGCCUGAUCCAGCCAUGCCGCGUGAGUGAUGAAGGCCCUAGGGUUGUAAAGCUCUUUCACCGGUGAAGAUAAUGACGGUAACCGGAGAAGAAGCCCCGGCUAACUUCGUGCCAGCAGCCGCGGUAAUACGAAGGGGGCUAGCGUUGUUCGGAUUUACUGGGCGUAAAGCGCACGUAGGCGGACUAUUAAGUCAGGGGUGAAAUCCCGGGGCUCAACCCCGGAACUGCCUUUGAUACUGGUAGUCUUGAAUUCGAGAGAGGUGAGUGGAAUUCCGAGUGUAGAGGUGAAAUUCGUAGAUAUUCGGAGGAACACCAGUGGCGAAGGCGGCUCACUGGCUCGAUACUGACGCUGAGGUGCGAAAGCGUGGGGAGCAAACAGG